rnacentral:rRNA from 1 species
GAGACCCUCACCUCUAGUUGCCAGCGGGUUCCAUCGGAAUGCCGGGCACACUAGAGGGACUGCCGUCGAUAAGGCGGAGGAAGGAGAGGGCUACGGCAGGUCAGUAUGCCCCGAAUGCCUCGGGCUACACGCGGGCUGCAAUGGUAGGGACAGAGGGCUCCAACCUCGAAAGGGGGAGGUAAUCCCUAAACCCUAUCUCAGUUGGGAUUGAGGGCUGAAACCCGCCCUCAUGAACAUGGAAUCCCUAGUAAUCGCACGUCAUCAUCGUGCGGUGAAUAC